AUGAAGAACGCAGCGAAAUGCGAUAAGUAAUGUGAAUUGCAGAAUUCAGUGAAUCAUCGAAUCUUUGAACGCACAUUGCGCCCGCCAGUAUUCUGGCGGGCAUGCCUGUCUGAGCGUCAUUUCAACCCUCAUGCCCCUAGGGCGUGGUGUUGGGGAUCGGCCAAAGCCCGCGAGGGACGGCCGGCCCCUAAAUCUAGUGGCGGACCCGUCGUGGCCUCCUCUGCGAAGUAGUGAUAUUCCGCAUCGGAGAGCGAUGAGCCCCUGCCGUUAAACCCCCAACUUUCCAAGGUUGACCUCAGAUCAGGUAGGAAUACCCGCUGAACUUAAGCAUAUCAAUAAGCGGAGGA
rnacentral:misc_RNA from 1 species